UCUUCUGAUCUCUUAGCCACAGUCCCACACCCUGUAUACUCCUCAUCCCCUGUAAUCUUCCUGGCGGUAUCUGAUCACCUUGGUCUGCCUUCGGCAAGAAUCCUGUUAGGUCAGUUAGAAUCCCCCUUACCCCUGGUGUUUCCUCUUAGCAGUUUUCACUCACGGACCCCCAUCCCACUCCUUGGCUGUAGUUCCCACUCGCCCAUCCUGCAUUCUGAGUGGAACCCAAUUUCUCCCUCACUGCAAAUUUCUGUCAAAUUGGCCCCUAUACCUGUAUUGAUAGCUCCCUACUUUUGAAUAAAAUCUUCCUUUAAGUGCAAA